rnacentral:lncRNA from 1 species
UGGCCAAUAGCCUGUAUUUGGAAAUUACAUAGGAUGAGGGGUUGGAGCCCAGGAUUCAGGGACUCUUCCAAAAUCAUUCUUAUCCAUUUUUUAUUUCUGUUUUGAAAAUAUGUAGGGUAGGCUCGGUUGGAAUUCCAGCUGACGAGUAGGAAUCUUGAUCUCAGAGGACAAAGGUGCGUGUGCCGACCCAUCUCACAGAGACUCAGAGUUCUCAGAAUAGCCCAGAAUAGCCCUUUCAGCAUCUGGAGCGCCAACCGUUCUGUGUGGGAGAGAGGCUGGUGGUCAGAUGUGUCACCGUCACCGAGGGCAGGUAAGUCCCAGGCAUGCCCCGGGGCCUCCACCUAUAAUAGUAGGGUGCUGACUCUCCUGUAGGAG